rnacentral:rRNA from 1 species
CCCUUAGAUGUCCUGGGCCGCACGCGCGCUACACUGACAUGUUCAACAAGCCUCCUAGUUCGACAGGAUUUGGGAAAUCUUUGAACGCAUGUCGUGAUAGGGAUAGAUCAUUGCAAUUAUUGAUCUUGAACGAGGAAUUCCUAGUAAACGCGAGUCAUCAGCUCGCAUUGAUUACGUCCCUGCCCUUUGUACACACCGCCCGUCGCACCUACCGAUUGAAUGUUUCGGUGAAGAUUCCGGAUAGGACUUUUUUGAUUUAUUUCAAUUCUGUCUUAAAAGCUAUCUAAACCUCAGCAUUUAGAGGAAGGUGAAGUCGUAACA